rnacentral:lncRNA from 10 species
GUGAGGAGCGUCUCUGCCCGGCCGCCAUCCCAUCUAGGAAGCGAGGAGCGUCUCUGCCCGGCCGCCAUCCCAUCUAGGAAGCGAGGAGCGCCUCUUCCCGGCUGCCAUCCCAUCUAGGAACUGAGGAGCGUCUCUGCCCGGCCGCCCAUCGUCUGAGAUGUGGGGAGCACCUCUGCCCCACCGCCCUGUCUGGGAUGUGAGGAGCGCCUCUGCUGGGCCGCAACCCUGUCUGGGAGGUGAGGAGCGUCUCUGCCCCGC